rnacentral:rRNA from 1 species
GUAGGUGGCAAGCGUUGUCCGGAAUUAUUGGGCGUAAAGCGCGCGCAGGCGGUUCUUUAAGUCUGAUGUGAAAGCCCACGGCUCAACCGUGGAGGGUCAUUGGAAACUGGAGAACUUGAGUACAGAAGAGGAAAGCGGAAUUCCACGUGUAGCGGUGAAAUGCGUAGAGAUGUGGAGGAACACCAGUGGCGAAGGCGGCUUUCUGGUCUGUAACUGACGCUGAGGCGCGAAAGCGUGGGGAGCAAACAGGAUUAGAUACCCUGGUAGUCCACGCCGUAAACGAUGAGUGCUAAGUGUUAGGGGGGUUUCCACCCCCCUUAGUGCUGCAGCUAACGCAUUAAGCACUCCGCCUGGGAGUACGGCCGCAAGGCUG